CACGUAGGGCGCAAGCGUUGUCCGGAAUUAUUGGGCGUAAAGAGCUCGUAGGCGGACUGUCACGUCUGCUGUGAAAAGCUGGGGCUUAACCCUGGACUUGCAGUGGAUACGGGCAGACUAGAGGUAGGUAGGGGAGAAUGGAAUUCCCGGUGUAGCGGUGAAAUGCGCAGAUAUCAGGAGGAACACCGGUGGCGAAGGCGGGUCUCUGGGCAGUAACUGACGCUGAGGAGCGAAAGCGUGGGGAGCGAACAGG
rnacentral:rRNA from 1 species